rnacentral:rRNA from 1 species
AUACGGGGGGUGCAAGCGUUAAUCGGAAUUACUGGGCGUAAAGCGCGCGUAGGCGGUUUGCUCAGUCGGAUGUGAAAGCCCAGGGCUCAACCUUGGAACUGCAUACGAUACUGGCAAACUAGAGUGUGAGAGAGGAUAGUGGAAUUUCCGGUGUAGCGGUGAAAUGCGUAGAUAUCGGAAGGAACAUCAGUGGCGAAGGCGACUGUCUGGCUCAACACUGACGCUGAGGUGCGAAAGUGUGGGUAGCAAACAGGAUUAGAAACCCUAGUAGUCC